rnacentral:lncRNA from 1 species
GAUAACCGCUGGAUUUCUUAACUCCGGACCAGGGCCUCGACUAUAGCCAAAAGCCCAUCAAGCAGAGGCCCACACACGCGAGACAAGCCUGACCCGUAUGCCUUCAAAGGCCGGGCUCACCCAUCUCCUCCAUUCAGGCCGGCCCGACCCGCGCCAAGCAAGCCCUCUCCUCUUGGGCUCAGCAUCUGGCCCGACUCUCAGCCCAGCCCAGUGUCCAGACCCAACUCAGACAGCCUGGCAGAUCCGCACGGAUGUACGCAUGGAGAGAAUCAGAGGCCGUUACGCAUGGAGCAGGCGGCUGAUACCCUCGUACACCCAAAUCUGCAUGCCAGAGCCGCGUGUCCCAAUCACGGAGAGGCCUUUACACUUCACCAUGAGCAAAGCAAAAAGGAUAAAAGGGGAGCACCCUCCCCAGACAAAGCAAGUUUUGGAGGGAAGUCUAAGAAAGCUGUAUUAACCAUCAUUCUAUAAUACAAAACCCUUGUAAAACCCUACUCUAUUGGAUCUCAAAUUAUCA